rnacentral:lncRNA from 1 species
GUUGAUUUGUAUGAUCUUUCGCAGAGGCACCUUCUGUGAGUCUACUCAGUUUUCCAGAAGGGAAAAAGGCGAGAGCUGAGUUUAGACCUGGACACCUUUCUAAAUAUCAUAGAGCAAAAGUAAAUUGCCCCAUUAAGGCUUGCACAUUACACUUAGGGUAAGUACUGUUCAACUUUCCUUUUUUAUAGGAGUUGCCUGCCUUAACUUUUCAGCUUAAUACGAGCAGCGUAAAUUAAGAAAAAAAAUUAACUCAAUCAGUUAUUUCACUGAAAUAGAAAAUUUGCAGAUUUUAAAGGGUAUCUAUUGUGCAUAAAUUUGGGGAUACGAGAAUUUGCCAGUGAAAUGAUAGCAGCUCUGUGCUUACAGAGCAAAGAUGUGCUAGUCUGAACAUGCCUGAUCUCAUCUGGAAUCGAAAGCUAAAUCUAGGUGGGCCUGUAAUAAUACCAGAAAAGGAACACAUGUAUCUUUUGUGCAACCUUUUUUUUUUUUUUUUUUUAAAGCUAGGCUUCCAAAGGGAAUGACAAAGAAGCAGGUUCUCCUCUUGCUUAAUAAGUAGUCAUAGUUUGCCUCUGGAGAUAUGUAUUUCCAGUUGUUUUAGUUGUUUUGUUUUGUUUUGUUUUGUUGUUGUCAUCGCUAUCGAAGAAUAUUCUUUCCUGUCAGUGAUUAUUAACACUUUCCGUUUUUCAGAAUGCUUUAACUCUGUUUGAUGUUUCCUCACUUGGUUACCUUUCUCAAGUCUGCGAUGACCCUCUCAGGCUUUGCCAUUCUUAUCGAUUCUUACCAGAAUGUACUUACUCAUUAGCUGUUUUGUUAUAGUUAUGGUGGAGAUAAUCUUGUUUUUCAGGCUUUUAUAACUAACCAAACAAAUUACCUUUUGAGGUGAAAUUUCUCAUAGUUAUCCUUGACACAGAACUGAACUUGUCUUGAAAAGGCUUGAAGAAAAUCCAAUUAGCCGUUUUUUGAGAACUGAAUAUUCUAAUAAAUGCAAAUGGAUUAUUUUACAAAAUACUUAUUGAUGUGCAAUGCUUUUCUAAUCUGUUUUUCUUUUCGUGCUUUAAAACAGACCCUGAAAAUUAAAUGUAUUAAAAAGAAAGAAAGAAAAAGAAAGAAACCUGCCAGGUUAAUACUGAUAUUUUAAAUACCCAAUUUAAAAUAAUGCUCAAAGUUUGAAUUUCUUUGCAACAUAUCACCUUUCAGUGUCAGUCAGUAAUACCUGGGCAGGUAUAUAUAUACAUUCACACCCACAGGGAAACAUGAAUCCACUUUACAGUUACAUUAAUUCUAUUUUAACCUACAAGAGAAAAGGUUAGCAUUACUGUAAAACUUUUGUUAAUUCAUUAUAUUUUAUUUUUCUGUAAUAAAAAAUUCACUGAACUAUUGCUUUCAUCCAAUUAUAUAUAUACUUAACACCCAUUUAUAUUCAAAUAUUUUAUCUUAAUUUAUGAAGUAUUUUUAUAAGUCUUAUAUGCUGCUGAAUUUUAUGCAGCUAUAUGAACGUUUAAGUUUUUUCUGAUACAAUUUGCUUUGUUCCGAAUCUGUUACUGUGUUAGAAGUUUUUUUCUUUCCCAAUCUAGAAAGAGUAUGGCCAUCUUUUCCUAUAUGUGAUAUCUAUACAUCUUCAGUAUUCUGAAGAAGAGAUUUUUUAACCUGCAAUCUCUUGGAAAGCUUUCAAACAAGUGGGAGAAGUAAUCUUUACUUUGCUUCUCCUUGAUCCAUCUGUUUGCCCUCACUGUACCACCCGUCACCACCAGCAACCCUGAAAAAAACAACAGUAAUAAAUAUGAUACGAUAAUUUUUCUGAUCACAGAACCAGGAAAUACCAGAGAAAAUUGUGGCAUAUGUAGGAAAAUGCCAAGAGCUUCUCCAGUAAGAUCAGCUGUUUUUAUACUUUUUUUUUUUCCUCUUGAAUUUUGUUUGUGACUUUUUUGGCUUGCUGAAGCACAUCCCCAUAAUCUUACGAAGCCACAGCAAAUUCCCAAUGCCACAACAAUACUGUGCAGCCGGGGAGAGGCCAGAAGAGCUGAUCCUGGGUGGCUGCAGGCUUCCCCAGCAAUGGUGCAAGGCAGGAGGAUGUGUAAUCUGGUCUAAAUUUGAAGAAGAGGGCAAGUAUAGCAUUUUUAUCUAGCUUGAAUAUGGCAUGGUAAUUCUGUAUUAAUGAGGUCAAUGGUAAAUGCAGUUCAGCUACACAUUUCUGUUUUUCCAGACAUACAAACACAUUCUGUGGAAAUAGAAAAUGUCUAAAAAAUGGAAAUGAUGAAAUAACUUGAGACAUGACAAAUCGCUUAACCUAUCUGUGUAAUAGUGUAUUUGUCAAAUAAAUAGAAAACCAUCUAUCCUCAUCUACUUCACAGCAGUAUUGCUAAGGCUGAUUGUGCACACAUAUAUUAAUGUAUAUAUCGUAGCUAUCUAUUUACAGCAGGGGAGAAUGGUUUUAAAAUAAAUGAAUCAGAGUUUUAUGUGUGCAUCCAUUGUGAAGAAUUCAGUUGUGUCCUUACCGUAGGAAGACAGGGUUAACUGAGAGUUUUGAGAGUUGUGGUAUGUGCUUUUCCAUUUGGGUCUGGG